rnacentral:tRNA from 1 species
GCAGGUUUAAUUGUAAUGGCUAACAUAACAGUCUCCAAAACUGUUGAUGGAGGUUCGAAUCCUUCAACCUGUG